ACGGGUGAGUAACGCGUAUGCAACCUACCUAUCAGGAGGGGAAUAACCCGGCGAAAGUCGGACUAAUACCGCAUAAAACAGGGGCACCGCAUGGUGAUAUUUGUUAAAGAAAUUCGCUGAUAGAUGGGCAUGCGUUCCAUUAGGUAGUUGGUGAGGUAACGGCUCACCAAGCCGACGAUGGAUAGGGGAACUGAGAGGUUGGUCCCCCACACUGGUACUGAGACACGGACCAGACUCCUACGGGAGGCAGCAGUGAGGAAUAUUGGUCAAUGGGCGGGAGCCUGAACCAGCCAAGUCGCGUGAAAAGGAAGAAGGAUCUAUGGUUCGUAAACUUCUUUUGCAGGGGAAUAAAGUGCAGGACGUGUCCUGUUUUGUAUGUACCCUGAGAAUAAGGAUCGGCUAACUCCGUGCCAGCAGCCGC
rnacentral:rRNA from 1 species